GACGUAGGGGGCAAGCGUUGUCCGGAAUUAUUGGGCGUAAAGCGCUCGUAGGCGGAUCGGUAAGUCUGUGAAGAAAGACCCGGGCUCAACUCGGGGAACGGCAUAGAUACUGCUGAUCUUGAGACAGUCAGAGGAUGAUGGAAUUCCAGGUGUAGCGGUGAAAUGCAUAGAUAUCUGGAGGAACACCAGUGGCGAAGGCGAUCAUCUGGGGCUGUUCUGACGCUGAGGAGCGAAAGCUAGGGGAGCAAACGGG
rnacentral:rRNA from 1 species